GUGGGGGAUAUUGCACAAUGGGGGAAACCCUGAUGCAGCGACGCCGCGUGAAGGAAGACGUACUUCGGUAUGUAAACUUCUAUCAGCAGGGAAGAAGAUGACGGUACCUGACUAAGAAGCCCCGGCUAACUACGUGCCAGCAGCCGCGGUAAUACGUAGGGGGCAAGCGUUAUCCGGAUUUACUGGGUGUAAAGGGAGCGUAGACGGUGAAGCAAGUCUGAUGUGAAAACCCGGGGCUCAACUCCGGGAUUGCAUUGGAAACUGUUUUACUUGAGUGCUGGAGGGGCAAGCGGAAUUCCUGGUGUAGCGGUGAAAUGCGUAGAUAUCAGGAAGAACACCGGUGGCGAAGGCGGCUUGCUGGUCAGUAACUGACGUUGAGGCUCGAAAGCGUGGGGAGCAAACAGGAUUAGAUACCCCAGUAGUCC
rnacentral:rRNA from 1 species